rnacentral:tRNA from 2 species
GGUUCUGUAGCUUAGUUGGUUAGAGCGCUUCCCUCAUAAGGAAGAGGUCGCAGGUUCAAUCCCUGCCAGAACUACCA